rnacentral:rRNA from 1 species
GUGAAGUCAUUGAUGCCAUGCUUCCAGGAAAAGCCUCUAAGCUUCAGAUUGUAAGGAAUCGUACCCCAAACCGACACAGGUGGUCGGGUAGAGAAUACCAAGGCGCUUGAGAGAACUCGGGUGAAGGAACUAGGCAAAAUGGUACCGUAACUUCGGGAGAAGGUACGCUCUCGACGGUGAAGUCCCUCGCGGAUGGAGCUAUUGAGAGUCGCAGAUACCAGGUGGCUGCAACUGUUUAUUAAAAACACAGCACUGUGCAAAAUCG